rnacentral:rRNA from 1 species
GAUGAACGCUGGCGGCGUGCCUAAUACAUGCAAGUCGAGCGAACGGACGAGAAGCUUGCUUCUCUGAUGUUAGCGGCGGACGGGUGAGUAACGCGUGGAUAACCUACCUAUAAGACUGGGAUAACUUCGGGAAACCGGAGCUAAUACCGGAUAAUAUUUUGAACCGCAUGGUUCAAAAGUGAAAGACGGUCUUGCUGUCACUUAUAGAUGGAUCCGCGCUGCAUUAGCUAGUUGGUAAGGUAACGGCUUACCAAGGCAACGAUGCAUAGCCGACCUGAGAGGGUGAUCGGCCACACUGGAACUGAGACACGGUCCAGACUCCUACGGGAGGCAGCAGUAGGGAAUCUUCCGCAAUGGGCGAAAGCCUGACGGAGCAACGCCGCGUGAGUGAUGAAGGUCUUCGGAUCGUAAAACUCUGUUAUUAGGGAAGAACAUAUGUGUAAGUAACUGUGCACAUCUUGACGGUACCUAAUCAGAAAGCCACGGCUAACUACGUGCCAGCAGCCGCGGUAAUACGUAGGUGGCAAGCGUCAUCCGGAAUUAUUGGGCGUAAAGCGCGCGUAGGCGGUUUUUUAAGUCUGAUGUGAAAGCCCACGGCUCAACCGUGGAGGGUCAUUGGAAACUGGAAAACUUGAGUGCAGAAGAGGAAAGUGGAAUUCCAUGUGUAGCGGUGAAAUGCGCAGAGAUAUGGAGGAACACCAGUGGCGAAGGCGACUUUCUGGUCUGUAACUGACGCUGAUGUGCGAAAGCGUGGGGAUCAAACAGGAUUAGAUACCCUGGUAGUCCACGCCGUAAACGAUGAGUGCUAAGUGUUAGGGGGUUUCCGCCCCUUAGUGCUGCAGCUAACGCAUUAAGCACUCCGCCUGGGGAGUACGACCGCAAGGUUGAAACUCAAAGGAAUUGACGGGGACCCGCACAAGCGGUGGAGCAUGUGGUUUAAUUCGAAGCAACGCGAAGAACCUUACCAAAUCUUGACAUCCUUUGACAACUCUAGAGAUAGAGCCUUCCCCUUCGGGGGGCAAAGUGACAGGUGGUGCAUGGUUGUCGUCAGCUCGUGUCGUGAGAUGUUGGGUUAAGUCCCGCAACGAGCGCAACCCUUAAGCUUAGUUGCCAUCAUUAAGUUGGGCACUCUAAGUUGACUGCCGGUGACAAACCGGAGGAAGGUGGGGAUGACGUCAAAUCAUCAUGCCCCUUAUGAUUUGGGCUACACACGUGCUACAAUGGACAAUACAAAGGGCAGCGAAACCGCGAGGUCAAGCAAAUCCCAUAAAGUUGUUCUCAGUUCGGAUUGUAGUCUGCAACUCGACUACAUGAAGCUGGAAUCGCUAGUAAUCGUAGAUCAGCAUGCUACGGUGAAUACGUUCCCGGGUCU